rnacentral:misc_RNA from 1 species
GAUGAAGAACGUAGCGAAAUGCGAUAAGUAAUGUGAAUUGCAGAAUUCAGUGAAUCAUCGAAUCUUUGAACGCACAUUGCGCCCCCUGGAAUUCCGGGGGGCAUGCCUGUUCGAGCGUCUCAGGGACGAACCCUCGCGCGGGUGUACGCGCGGUCGUGGCUGCGGUGGCGUGCCCGAGGCGGCGGCCACCGCGCUGGAAUCCAUGGGCGGACGCCUGCCGCGUGGCCGAGCGUGAUAUUACGCAUUGGCGCUCGCACGCGGCGAGGCUGCCAGCCCUGGCCCGUCUGUCGGGCGGGGGAGAGCAAGACACGUGAACUCCUCGAAUCAGGUAGGGAUACCCGCUGAACUUAAGCAUAUCAAUAAGCGGAGGA